GAUGAACGCUGGCGGCGUGCCUAAUACAUGCAAGUCGAGCGAACAGAUAAGGAGCUUGCUCCUUUGACGUUAGCGGCGGACGGGUGAGUAACACGUGGAUAACCUACCUAUAAGACUGGGAUAACUUCGGGAAACCGGAGCUAAUACCGGAUAACAUAUUGAACCGCAUGGUUCAAUAGUGAAAGGCGGCUUUGCUGUCACUUAUAGAUGGAUCCGCGCCGUAUUAGCUAGUUGGUAAGGUAACGGCUUACCAAGGCAACGAUACGUAGCCGACCUGAGAGGGUGAUCGGCCUCACUGGAACUGAGACACGGUCCAGACUCCUACGGGAGGCAGCAGUAGGGAAUCUUCCGCAAUGGGCGAAAGCCUGACGGAGCAACGCCGCGUGAGUGAUGAAGGUCUUCGGAUCGUAAAACUCUGUUAUCAGGGAAGAACAAAUGUGUAAGUAACUGUGCACAUCUUGACGGUACCUGAUCAGAAAGCCACGGCUAACUACGUG
rnacentral:rRNA from 1 species